UACGAAGGGGCUAGCGUUGCUCGGAAUCACUGGGCGUAAAGGGUGCGUAGGCGGGUCUUUAAGUCAGGGGUGAAAUCCUGGAGCUCAACUCCAGAACUGCCUUUGAUACUGAGGAUCUUGAGUUCGGGAGAGGUGAGUGGAACUGCGAAGUGUAGAGGUGAAAUUCGUAGAUAUUCGCAAGAACACCAGUGGCGAAGGCGGCUCACUGGCCCGAUAACUGA
rnacentral:rRNA from 1 species